CUUCAUCCGCUGCAACCACCGCCGUCGUCCUCCUUCGAUGAUAACUCUGGAAAGUGGUGUAGCAUCUUUAGUUUUCUUAACGGUAAAGAUAACGGGAAUAGACACAACCGGCAUUCUUCAGCGGACUUCCGUUAUGAUCCGUUGAGUUAUUCGUUGAACUUUUAAGAUAAAGCAAACCUCACCAACUUCUCUUCUAGACUUCCUCUGUCACCGGUGAUGGUGACGAAGCCAACGAUGGUGAAGGUGAAGCAUGUGGGUAUUGCUGAUGUGGUUGGUUUAUGAGUUGUAAUGGUGGGUGGUUUUGUUUGUUUUCGUUUUUUGUUAUUUUCAAUUAUUACCUCUUUAUGUUUUUUUUAAUCGUUUUUUACUUUUAUGCAGAUAUGUCAUUUUUUACUUGUGCCUAUGUUAUCAUCUAAAAUAGGAACUAUAGAAUUUCCAAUGAAAA
rnacentral:lncRNA from 1 species